rnacentral:rRNA from 1 species
AUACGGAGGAUGCAAGCGUUACUCGGAAUCACUGGGCGUAAAGCGCGCGCAGGCGGCUAUUUAAGUUGGAUGUGAAAGCCUACGGCUCAACCGUAGAACUGCAUCCAAAACUAUUUAGCUAGAGUGUGAGAGAGGAAGAUGGAAUUAGUUGUGUAGGGGUAAAAUCCGUAGAGAUAACUAGGAAUACCAAAAGCGAAGGCAAUCUUCUGGAACACUACUGACGCUGAGGCGCGAAAGCGUGGGGAGCAAACGGGAUUAGAUACCCUAGUAGUCC